rnacentral:rRNA from 1 species
GUGGGGAAUCUUGCGCAAUGGGCGAAAGCCUGACGCAGCCAUGCCGCGUGAAUGAUGAAGGUCUUAGGAUUGUAAAAUUCUUUCACCGGGGACGAUAAUGACGGUACCCGGAGAAGAAGCCCCGGCUAACUUCGUGCCAGCAGCCGCGGUAAUACGAAGGGGGCUAGCGUUGCUCGGAAUUACUGGGCGUAAAGGGCGCGUAGGCGGAUCGUUAAGUCAGGGGUGAAAUCCCAGAGCUCAACUCUGGAACUGCCCUUGAUACUGGCGAUCUUGAGUGUGAGAGAGGUAUGUGGAACUCCGAGUGUAGAGGUGAAAUUCGUAGAUAUUCGGAAGAACACCUGUGGCGAAGGCGACAUACUGGCUCAUUACUGACGCUGAGGCGCGAAAGCGUGGGGAGCAAACAGGAUUAGAAACCCGAGUAGUCC